GAUGAACGCUGGCGGCGUGCUUAACACAUGCAAGUCGAACGGAAAGGCCCAAGCUUGCUUGGGUGCUCGAGUGGCGAACGGGUGAGUAACACGUGGGUGAUCUGCCCUGCACUUUGGGAUAAGCCUGGGAAACUGGGUCUAAUACCGGAUAGGACCAUCGUUUAGUGUCGGUGGUGGAAAGUUUUUCGGUGUGGGAUGAGCUCGCGGCCUAUCAGCUUGUUGGUGGGGUAAUGGCCUACCAAGGCGUCGACGGGUAGCCGGCCUGAGAGGGUGUACGGCCACAUUGGGACUGAGAUACGGCCCAGACUCCUACGGGAGGCAGCAGUGGGGAAUAUUGCACAAUGGGCGCAAGCCUGAUGCAGCGACGCCGCGUGGGGGAUGACGGCCUUCGGGUUGUAGACUCCUUUCGCCAAGGACGAAGCGUUUUGUGACGGUACUUGGAGAAGAAGCACCGGCUAACUACGUG
rnacentral:rRNA from 1 species